rnacentral:misc_RNA from 1 species
UAUUUUCUUUAAGCAUUUUAAGUUUGUAUUAUCUACCUUGAGCAAGACUUGGCAUAUUUCCUACAAUGAUGAGACAGAUAAUAACAAUGAUGAUGACUCAGAAAGAAUAAAUUUACUGCAGCAGGAAAGGAAAAGAAAAGAAAAGGGAAAGAUCUCAUUUUGGAAGGUUUCAAUCAAUUGCAAAUUCUUUGUGUGGCUCAUGCACACUUGAAGAUACUGUAGACUGGUAUACUUAUUAAUAACUAGCCAAAUUGUUUUUACUCUCAUUUAAACAAUCUUACUUGGAAAAUCAGUUCAUGUUUGUUGUUGCAGCAUUAAAUUUGCUGGCUCUAUUUCCACUUCCUUUUUUUUGGGUGAUUUCCUCCACAAGGCAGCUAUGGAGCUUCAGGAAGGGAAAAUGUUGGAAGAUUAUCCUCCACAUAAUAUUUUGAAUACCUGUAGACCAUUGUUAUUUAAUGAUAUAAAAAUCCUUUUUAACAUUUUCUUAAUAUUUUGAAUUUGAAAAUGAGUAAUCUCUAAUGACCAAACCAAUAUAAGAAAGGAAAUUAAAAUUACUCCAUCCAUUCUAGGAGAUUAGGAUUAUUAAUGGGAUACUUUAUGAUUCUUGUAUGUAGAUCAAUUCAGUAAUCUUACUUUUUUAUUAGAGAUUGCAAGAUGCAAGAUAAUAUUGGAUGCACAGCUGCAUUGUUUUCCUUGCAAAAUUAUUCAAUUGAGUAGAAAGGUAAAUGAGACUUCUAUUUUAUUUCCCAUAAUUAUUUGAAUUUCAGUCAUUGUUUCUCUAAUUACAAUUAUCACAAAUGAACUGUUUUUGUUGUGCUUUCAGCAUGUCCUGGGAGCUAUCAACUUUGCUCCAAGUGAAAGACAAAAAAAAUGAGUUGGAGGUCGAUAGCAUGCCCUUUUAUUAGCUCCUUAUGAGAUUAUGACUGCUAAAUUUUGGGUUCAAGCUGUAAGCCUGAACAGAAAUAGAGAUAAGUUUACA